ACUGUUCUAGUGAAGAUCGUAGGAUUUUUUUAAUUCUAAAGUUCUUAAGAGUUUUACGGAGCUCAUCUGGUGACGAGAACAAAAAAAAAACGAAAAUUUGUGCUCCAGACUUAACACAUGGGAACAACUUAAUUGAACAAGUUGUGGUGGCGAUUUGAAUAAGUCGUGGGUUUGAGUUAUAAUGUUAUGGUCGCGGCCCACAAAUUGGUUUUUUUCCUCCCACCAGACGGGCUGCACUGAAUUUCCCCUCUGUAAGAUGAAAUGUGUUCACAAAGCACCUGAGACGAAAUUCUCAGCGCAUUUAGGAGGAUCUUUCAGAGAGGCUGAAAGCGUCUUAAGCAGGGAAAACGGGGAAAACCGACAGAGUUUAGAGUUGAAACC